CUUAAAAUAACAGCAUUAGCAAUCAGCUUGUAUUUCAGCAAUUAUGGCCUCAGUCUCUGCAAGUUUCAGUUCCCUGUUGCUGUGUACACACCCUGGUAAGCUACAGAGCCCCUAGAGGUAUCGACAGUCUAACUACAUUACCAAAUCUAAUUAUUUAAGAAUCUCUAAUGACCACAAGCCAACUAUAAGGCUACAUGGACUUCAAUGUAUGUGUUUCCAGUAGCUGUUUGAAGUUCAUUAUUGCUUGGUGUAUUCCGGACUGGAUGACCACAGGCAGUCAAAUGAACUACUCUCAUUCCUCCUGUGUUAUUGUUUUUCUCCUUCAGAUAUUUUCAAUGAUUCAAUCUACUCAUUCUCAAUGCUUCCAAAAUACUAUGAAGUGCUAGACUGCCUUCAAGGAGAUAUCAAACUGAUCAGAAGUUGAUAAUUACUUGGACAAAAAGCCCUGUGGAAUAUUGAUGUGUCAAAGGCUGCAGUACAUCAAAAGAAACGAAGAAGCUUAUAAGUCUGCAUAUAGCUCACUAGAAAAAUCAGAGACACAGCACCCUAUCAGCAUAAUAUCCAAACUGUGAAAAGCUGUACAAAUCAAUUCAUAGUAAAUAAAUAAUAACUUGCCUAAGAGAAUGAUUCCAAAACAUCAGUUUAAAUCACAAAG